CCCUCUCCCUCUCCUUCUUCCCCAAGAGCUGCAGCCACCCCCACACAAAACCCUAGCCGCCCCCAUUCAACCCCCCUCUCCAAGGUGCAGCCCUCCCGCUGGUUCUCCGUCGCGUGGCUGCGAGCUCUCAAUUGAAGUUUGGAGGGAGGAAGAAGGAAGGAGGAAGGGAAGAACCCAAGGUGAAUUUGUGAUUAUCUUUUGUUGUUUAUGUGCUGCAAUCAAAUUGAUUAUGUGUUUAUCUAUGCGAAUCGGUAGAGGUGCUGUCCAGAAAUCUUGUGGGUGGGCGAACAGCAGUAAUUCUAGUGAUUUCUGGGAAUUUUGGUGGGUUAAUUAGUGGGAAUCAGUGGGAGAAUCAUGUAGAACUUUGUCAUACCUUUCCAACGAGUACUUAUGCGCUCGAUUCGGAGUUAUAUUUUAGGAGAUAUCGUUGUUUGAAUCCGGGUAUGUUGCUGUAAAAAAACAGAUUUUCAGGUGGGCGAACAACAAUAGUAUUAGCAGUUUCUGGGGAUUUUUCGUGGGUAAUUAGUGACAAUCAGUAUGAGAAUCAUGUAGAGCUUUGUCUUACCUUUCCAAUGAGUACUUAUGCGCUUGAUUCGGAAUUAUAUUUUAAAAGAUAUCUCUGUUUGAAUCCGGGUAUGUUGCUGCCCAAAAAAAAUAACAGAUUGCAGGGUUCAUCUUGUGGACUGUUUUGGGCUAAUUAGAUGUUGGAAUUUAAUUAUAAAUUAUAUACAAAACUUGUGGGGAAUUUUAUGUAGAUGCCUCUGGAGUUCUUUCUUGUUACCACUGCUGUCAUAAUUUUAAAGUUAUGAAAUUGUUAAGCAGCGCCACUGCAGUUUGGUGGGUGUGGGGAGAGUUGUUACCCGCGGCGGGGUUUGAAAUUGUGCGUAGGUGCGGCGUCGUUUAUGAGCAUUGUUAUGUGAAAUUGAUGCACUAAGUUGUGUGUCAAAAACAGGUGGUGGACUUCCGGAUCGUACUUAGGGAUUUGUCCAAACUUCCUGUGAAGGCAAGUAAAGUAGUGAUGGUUAUUCCGUCAGUCGAUUAAAGUGUCUUAUACUUGAUUAUGUUUGUGCUAUUUGUGUUCGUAUUCAUAUUCCUAAUUGGGUACCAUCGUUUGAAGACAUUCAUGUUUUAUGGUUUACAUAUGUUGAGGUUGUGGCUUGAUCAUGUUACACAUGUUGUUUACUAUUUGGAAUGAGUGGAAGUAUAUGUUCGGCACAUUUUAUUUGGGAAGGACUCAUGUUGUUGACAUGCAUAAUACAUUCAUCAUCCAUUGCAUGGAAGUUCCGCCGCAAUCUUAUGGUCCGACCGAUCCGGUACAAUGAGCAUCAUAUGUUGCCUAUGAUGCAGCUUCAUAUCCUUAGAGGUAUGAAGGCAGAAGUCAUUACUGCAUCUGUAGCCAUGUGCAUUCAUGGGUGAAGUGUGGAACCUAUUAUGUGGAUGUGGAUAGUGUAGAUCUUUACCUUGCGAUUCAUCUUGGAACUAAGUAAUUGGUUACUUGUUUACUUGCUGCAAAUUACUAUUCAAGAAGGAAGUUGUGAACUACGUGGUUGUUUAAGCACGGUUUGUUUACAUUGUCCAAUUGUUGUUUGCCCUUUUUACUUGCUGAGAUGUGUCAUCUCACUCUUGCAUUGUCUGAUGCAGGCACAUGAUCUUUGCUUUGGUAAAAGAAGGGAUGUAGCAGCACGACCACUACACCUUUAAAUAAAGGAACCACUGCUUAAUAAUGAUGUUAAACAGGGAGGGUCUAGUCUGAGGGAUUAAUAUGUUCUAGCCUUUCAUGGUAGUUGAACAGAUUUUGGGGUGGGCUGAGUUACCUAUCUUUUUAUUUGGUCAUGAAUGUUCAUUACUACCUUUGCAUUUCGAUUAUACUAUGUGAAUUAUCUUUCUUUUAUAUUAUGUAUAAACUUUAUGUUCCCCUCGUUAUGCUUCUUUCAAGGGAGGUGCUGCCGGAUUUUGCAAUACUUUCUUUCUCUAGUUCUUUUCUUAUGUUGUAUAAGUUUUGUGGGAAGGGUAUUUGGUAACAUUUAUUGUGUGGGAGCUUUGGGGUGUUACAGUUGGUAUCAAAGGGUAUAGGCUGUAGGUCCUAGCAAGUGGAAUAAUAAUAAAUUGACACACUGCACAUGUAGGAUGGGUUUCCUGCCUUACUAUUGAUAUCUUAUGUUAUUGUCAGUGCUGGAUUAACAUUGUUUGAAGAAGUGCUAUGCCAACCUUAUUUACUUACUCCUGUGGCUGCAGUUAUGCCGCCUCGUAGGGCUCUUGGUAGCCCGCAAGCCCCUAGUGGGGAUUCUAUGAGUCCGGCAGCAAUGUUAGCCACGAUGCAGGCCAUGCAGCAGGAGUUGGCCAUUCUGAGGCAGGCUAUUCCUGUUGCUCCUGCAGGUGCUGCUCAGGGUGCUGGUGGUGGAGGAGUGCCCAGGGGCGCUGUUCCCGUGGGUGCUGCUUCAGGUGGUGGGGCUGAGGUGCCUCUUCCUGUUAGUGGUCUUUCUCUGAUGCAGUGGAUGGGCAUGAAGUUGGACAGUUUUGAUGGCAGUGGUACUCCGAUCGAGGCGACAGAUUGGCUAACUUACGUGGAGGAUAAGAUGAAUGUCUUCGAGAUUGUGUAUGGGGAUCAUGUUCGCUUUGGCACACAGCUGCUGAAGGGAGAGGCUCAGAUUUGGUGGAGAGGCGUGCAGGCAGCUCACUCCUCUUCACCAGGAGUCCUGUCCUGGGAUGUUUUCAUCAGGAAGUUUAAGAGGAGGUUCUACCCGGUCACCUUCCUGGAGAAAAUGAAGAUUGAUCUACAGUCCUACAAGCAAGAGAAGUCCGUCACAGAGUAUGAAGUGGGCUUCAACAAGAUGGUCCGCUUUGUUCCUCAUGUGGCUUACAGUGAGUUGGAGAAGGCGAGCCAGUUUCGUCAGGGCCUGAAACCUUCUAUCAGGCAUGCCCUGGGAGCCUUUCUGUUGGUGGAUUUCCGUACUACAAUGGAGUAGGCAUUGGGUGUGGAGAUGCAACACCAGUACACCAUGGAGUCACAGAAGUCUUCGGGUGUUGAUCAGCCUCGUGGCUAGGACGCGAGGACUGGAGGUCUAGCCCACAAGAGGGGCAAGUCUCAGCACCAGUACCACCACCCCUACCGUGGCAAACCCUCUAAAUCGGGUACUUCGGGAGGAAGUACUCAGAGGUUUCGGGCUAUCCCUAAGCCCGGGCUAGGGCUGGUGUGUUUUCGUUGUGGUGAUGCGCAUCGCCGUGCAGAGUGCCAGUGGAGUGGCAGGUGUUCUAUCUGCAGUCAAGACCAUAAGGAUGUGGUGUGUAGGAGGAAUCCCAAUGGGAAGCUCAGAUGGGAGCCAGUGACUUCCUCCUCUUCUCAGGGCACUGUCAACAUGAUGUCAAGCGCUGAGCAGCAAUUUUCAGUUCCACUUCCUCCGCAACAGUUUUAUGUGCCUUGGACUUCUUAGUUUGUGCCGAUGCAGGGUUUUCCUCAGUAUCUGGCUGCGCCUACUCCUGCACCGACUACUCCUAUGCCGUCUCAGUUUGGAGCUCUGCGUGUGCCUCACCCGUCGGCUCAGGCGGGUUCUUCUGUUAAUUUCACUCCGGGAGCUUCCUCUUCUGCGGGUAUUUCCGGAGCUUAUGUGCUACUCGCUGCGGAUGGCAGAGAGCAAGGAGAUGUGGUGACAGGUACGAUUUCAGUUGAUUCGUUUGUGGCCCAUGCUCUUUUUGACUCUAGCGCUAGCUAUUCGUUUGUUUUGGAGAAUUUUGUGUUGCGGGCUGGUCUUUUGGUGCAGAGGUUGGGACACCCAAUUUUGGUUAGUUCUGCUAAUGGCUCCAUUAGUAGCUGUUCAGUUUGUAAGGGGUGUUCCGUCAUCCUUGCUGAUGAGGUCUUUUCGACCAAUCUUGUUGUGAUUUCCUUGGGGGCUUUCGAUGUUAUCUUGGGUAUGGAUUGGUUAUCUCAAUAUCGCGCAGUUAUAUCCUGUUUUUGGAAGACAGUGUUAUUGCAGGCGCCGUCGAGUAGGGAGGUGGUAUUCUUGGGAAGUUCCCCAAAGUUCACGUUAUCCUUGUUGGCGCAAUUGCUUCCGGAUCGCCGGUCAAGGAAGUCGGGAAUCUUUUUCUCCAUGGUGGUGGAGGGUGAGGUUGCCUUGCGGGUGCAGGACAUCCGGGUGGUGUGUGACUUUGCCGACAUGUUUCCGGCAGAGCUUCCAGGCGUUCCUUCGGAGCGUGAUGUAGCUUUUGAAAUCAAGCUGAUUCCGGGUACGCAGCCUAUUCAUAAGGCACCGUAUCGGAUGGCUCCAAAGGUGCAGGUUGAAUUGAAGCGGCAAUUGGAUGAUCUGCUGGCUAAGGGUUUCAUUAGGCCUAGCAAGUCGCCAUGGGCUUCCCCAGUAUUGUUUGUUGAGAAGAAAGAUAAAAGCAAGAGGCUAUGUGUGGAUUAUCGUGCUUUGAAUCAAGUGACAAUCAAGAAUAAAUAUCCGCUACCCCGUAUUGAGGUUCUGUUUGAGCAGUUGAGGGGUGCCCAGGUGUUCUCCAAAAUUGAUUUGAACUCUGGUUAUCAUCAGUUGAGGAUUCAUGAGGAGGAUAUUGAGAAGACAACCUUUUGCACCAGGUAUGGGCAUUACGAGUUCAUAGUCAUGUCUUUUGGCUUAACUAAUUCCCCUGCUGCUUUUAUGGAAUCAAUGAAUAGGAUGUUACAUGAGUUCUUGGACGACUUUGUGGUCAUGUUCCUGGAUGAUAUCCUUAUUUAUUCAAAGACCGAGGAAGAGCAUGAGCGACAUCUCUGUCUCGUUCUGAGUGCUCUUAGGAAGAAUCAAUUUUAUGGCAAAUUGAAGAAGUGCGCCUUUUGGCUGUCCGAGGUGGCUUUCCUGGGGCAUGUGAUUAGUCAGCAGGGCAUUGCGGUUGAUCCCAAGAAUGUCGCGGUUGUGGUGGAGUGGAAGAGACCCUCUAGUGUCUCUGAAAUCCGAAGCUUCUUGGGGCUCGCCGGAUAUUAUUGACGCUUCGUACCAAAUUUUUCCAGCAUUGCUAAGCCUUUGACUAGACUUUUGGAGAAGGGUGUUCUGUUCGUCUGGUCCAGCGAUUGCGAGGUCAGCUAUCAGACAUUGAAGAACAAGUUGGUGAGCGCCCCUAUCCUAGCUUUGCCUGAGAGUGGUAAGCGUUUCACAGUUUUUACGGAUGCUUCUCGAAUUGGUCUUGGCUGUGUGUUGAUGCAGGAAGGCAGAGUGAUCGCUGAUGGCUCAAGGCAGUUGAGGAAGCAUGAAGGGAAUAUCUAACUCAUGAUCUUGAAUUGGCCGCGGUGGUCUUUGCUCUAAAAUCAUGGAGGCAUUAUCUCUAUGGCGAGUCUUGUGACAUUUACACUGAUCAUAAAAAUCUCAAGUACAUUUUCACUCAGGAGCUGAAUUUGAGGUAGCGUCGAUGGCUCGAAUUGAUUAAAGAUUAUGAUUUGUCCAUUCAUUAUGACCCUGGGAAGGCAAAUGUGGUGGCUGAUGCCCUUAGCAGGUCCGGGGUUCCAAAAGUGACCUUGCCUUUGAUCGCUGAUCUAGACCGUUUGGGGAUCGCUUUGUGCUAUGUCGGCACCGCUAGUGAGGAGACUCGGAUGCUUAUUCAAUCCUCCCUCAUGGAGAGAGUGCGUGCGCUCAGCAGCAGGAUCAUCUAUUGCAGGAAGCUCAAAAGAGGGUUGGUGAUGGUAAACCCCGGGAGUUCACCAUUGAUGAGAAUGAUUUGGUUCGUUUCAGGGGCCGUCUUUGUGUGCCUCAAAAAUCAGAGGUGAGGAUGGAUAUCUUGAGAGAAGAUCAUAAAACGCCUUACACCGUUCACCCUGGUGAAACCAAAAUGUACCGAGAUUUGAAGCAAAACUUCUGGUGGAAGCGGAUGAAGGUCGACGUUUCUAAGUAUGUGGCUGCCUGUGAAGUAUGUCAGCGCGUGAAGGCCAAGCAUAAGCGGCCUGCAGGUUUACUGAAGCCAUUGGAAAUUCCGCAGUGGAAAUGGGAGCACAUCACCAUGGAUUUUGUGGUGGGUUUACCUCGUUCUCCUUGGGGCAGGGAUGCUAUAUGGGUGGUAGUGGAUCGCUUGACUAAGUCUGCGCAUUUUAUUCCCAUGAAGACCACAAAUUCAGCUUCAAAAUUGGUUCCCUUGUAUAUGAAGGAAGUAGUCAGGCUUCACAGGGUACCUAAGUCCAUUGUUUCUGAUCAAGACUCUAAAUUUGUAUCCAAAUUCUAAGAGAGUCUUCACAGUGCAUUGGGCACCAAGUUUUCACUUAGUGUCGCUUUUCACCCUUAGACUAAUGGUCAGUAGGAGCAAACGAUCCAAACCUUGGAAGAUAUGUUGCGUGCUUGUGUUCUGUCAUGGAAGGGUAGUUGGGAGGAUCAUCUUCCAUUGGCAGAGUUUGCUUAUAACAAUAGCUACCAGGCUAGCAUCAAGAUGGCACCAUUUGAGGCUUUAUAUGGCAGGCGGUGUAUCUCCCCUCUGUGCUGGGAGACUUUGGGAGAGAGAUCCCUGGUUGGUCCUGAUUGGGUUCAGCAGACUUCUGAGAAGGUUCGGGAAAUUCGUCAGAAUAUUUUGGCCGCUCAGAGCCGUCAGAAGAGUUAUGCUGAUGUGAGGAGGCGAGAUUUGGAAUUUGUAGUGGGUGACUAAGUCCUUCUCAGGGUAUCACCUACUAAAGGAGUUGUUCGGUUCGGUGUCUCCGGAAAUCUUAGCCCGAGAUACAUUGGACCAUUCACUAUCUUUGCCCAGGUGGGCAACUUGGCAUAUCGCUUGCAAUUGCCGGAUUCCAUGGCAGGGUUGCACCUGGUUUUUCAUGUCUCUAUGUUGAGGAAGUUCUUGCGGGAUCCGAACCAUCAGAUCAAGAUGGAACCAAUUGCUGUGCAGUAGGAUCUGACUUUAGAGUGUCGUCCGGUGCAUAUCUUGGAGUCCUCGGAGCGUGUUUUGAGGAAGAGAUCAAUCAAGUAUGUCAAGGUCUUGUGGACUAAUCAGUCUGAGCGCGAGGCUACUUAGGAGCUUGAGGAGCUGACGCGGCAGAAGUAUCCGGAACUUUUCGCUGUGGGUGAGUAUUGUUGAUUCAUUAAUCUUUUCUUUUGUCGUUCCGAUUGAAGCGUCAGAAUUCGAGGUCGAAUUCUUUUUAAGGGGGGUAGAGUGUGAUACCCAGUUUGCAAAGAAGAGAAGUUGGAGGUCAUUUUUGCUUUGUUUUCUUUUGUUGUUUCUCUUUCGAGUGGUGCGUAUUUGGGGUUUGGAAUUUUUGGGAAGCAUUCACCAGUAAAAUAGUAGAAUGAGGUUUAGUCUCAUGCGCUGGGGUCGGAAACUGACGUGUGAGCGAGUUGGGCCGUGGAUCUCGAUCCGGCCCACUAGCCUCCCCCUAACCCUAGCCGCCCCCCUUUUUAUCCCCUUGGAGUGCAGCCCCCUUCUCCCAUUUGCUUGGCCGCCCCCUCUCCCUCUCCUUCUUCCCCAAGAGCUGCAGCCACCCCCACACAAAACCCUAGCCGCCCACAUUCCCCCCCUCUCCAAGGUGCAGCCCUCCCGCUGGUUCUCCGUCGCGUGGCUGCGAGCUCUUAAUUGGAGUUUGGAGGGAGGAAGAAGAAAGGAGGAAGGGAAGAACCCAAGGUGAAUUUAUGAUUAUCUUUUGUUGUUUAUGUGCUGCAAUCAAAUUGAUUAUGUGUUUAUCUAUGUGAAUCGGUAGAGGUGCUGUCCAGAAAUCUUGUGGGUGGGCGAACAACAGUAGUUCUAGUGAUUUCUGGGAAUUUUCGUGGGUUAAUUAGUGAAAAUAAGUGGGAGAAUCAUGUAGAGCUUUGUCAUACCUUUCCAACGAGUACUUAUGCAAUUCGGAGUUAUAUUUAAGGAGAUAUCGUUGUUUGAAUCCGGGUAUGUUGCUGUAAAAAAAACAGAUUUUCAGGUGAGCGAACAACAGUAGUAUUAGCAGUUUCUGGGGAUUUUUCGUGGGUAAUUAGUGAUAAUCAGUAUGCGAAUCAUGUAGAGCGUUGUCUUACCUUUCCAAUGAGUACUUAUGCGCUCGAUUCGGAAUUAUAUUUUAAAAGAUAUCGCUAUUUGAAUCCGGGUAUGUUGCUGCCCAAAAAAAUAACAGAUUGCAGGGUUCAUCUUGUGGACUGUUUUGGGCUAAUUAGAUGUUGGAAUUUAAUUAUAAAUUGUAUGCAAAACUUGUGGGGAAUUUUAUGUAGAUGCCUCUGGAGUUCUUGCUUGUUACCACUGCUGUCAUAAUUUUAAAGUUAUGAAAUUGUUAAGCAGCGCCAUUGCAGUUUGAUGGGUGUGGGGAGAGUUGUUACCCGCGGCGGGGUUUGAAAUUGUGCGUAGGUGCGGCGUCGUUUAUGAGCAUUGUUAUGUGAAAUUGAUGCACUAAGUUGUGUGUCAAAAACAGGUGGUGGUCUUCCAGAUCGUACUUAGGGAUUUGUCCAAACUUCCGAUGAAGGCAAGUAAAGUAGUGAUGGUUAUUCCGUCAGUCGAUUAAAGUGUUUUAUACUUGAUUAUGUUUGUGCUAUUUGUGUUUGUAUUCAUAUUCCUAAUUGGGUACCAUCGUUUGAAGAUAUUCAUGUUUUAUGGUUUACAUAUGUUGAGGUUGUGGCUUGAUCAUGUUACCCAUGUUGUUUACUAUUUGGAAUGGGUGGAAGUAUAUGUUUGACACAUUUUAUUUGGGAAGGACUCAUGUUGUUGACAUGCAUAAUGCAUUCAUCAUCCAUUGCAUGGAAGUUUCGUUGCGAUCUUAUGGUCCGACCGUACUGGUACAAUGAGCAUCAUAUGUUGCCUGAGAAAGGGUAUGAUGCAGCUUCAUAUCCUUAUAUGUAUGAAGGCAGAAGUCAUUACUGCAUCUGUAGCCAUGUGCAUUCAUGGGUGAAGUGUGGAACCUAUUACGUCGAUGUGGAUAGUGUAGAUCUUUACCUUGCGAUUCAUCUUGGAACUAAGUAAUUGGUUACUUGUUUACUUGCUGCAAAUUACUAUUCAAGAAGAAAGUUGUGAACUACGUGGUUGUUUAAGCACGGUUUGUUUACAUUGUCCAGUUGUUGUUUGCCCUUUUUACUUGCUGAGAUGUGUCAUCUCACUCUUGCAUUGUCUGAUGCAGGCACAUGAUCUUUGCUUUGGGAAAAGAAGGGAUGUAGCAGCACGACCACUACACCUUUAAAUAAAGGAACCACUGCUUAAUAAUGAUGUUAAACAGGGAGGGUCU
rnacentral:lncRNA from 1 species